rnacentral:SRP_RNA from 1 species
GCACUAGUUGGGGAGCUAGCGGUGCCCUGUAACCUGCAAUCCGCUACAGCAGGGAUGAAUUCCCGCCCCCGGAUAGCCGAUGUGUCGUCUGACCGCAGUAAGCGGUGAUGAAGGUCCGGUCCCGCGCAACGGAACCCCGUGAACCAUGUCAGGCGGGGAACCGAGCAGCAUUAAGCGGGUCAUUCCGUGUGCCGUGGGGCAACCGGACCGGAGCUGGCUGCUGUGGUAAC